GCUGCCAGUUCCAAAGGCCAGCACUGUGUGUUCCUUCCCUCAAGGAGCUGUGUACUCCCGGAGAGAGCUGCCUGCAGCCUCGGGCCCUCUCUGGCUCUCCCUACCUCUCGUUUUCUCCUUUAUCAACACAAAUGAAAAUAAAAACUGGGAAGGCUCAGUUUCUCUAAGGGACACCGGACAGGAAAAGGAGAACAGGCGGUUCCUGUUUUUCUCACCAAGGGGAUUGCCCGGUCUUCUCAAAAUGGGUAGAUCUCUCUGGAAUCGCUGUACAGGAUUCUUCAGAUAUACAGAGAAGGAACCCAGGCACCUGCUCCUGUGUCACCGCUUUGGAUGGCAACUAAGAAGUCCCUCCACUUCUAGUCCCGCCACCCGGCCUCGGACCCCAUGCCCAAGGGCCUGCCGUGAUCCCGCUCCCUUCCUGUGACCCUCUCAGUGGCACCUCGAGGCUGCCAGCCUCUCCAGGCCUGCUGUGGCUUUCAGAAAACAGAGCGGGCCUAUUUUUAGCCCUUCUCAGCCUAAUAAUACUCCCCGGCACCCAUUCAGUUUAAUCGCUUUAUUGAGGACAAGAAGCGAGCUCUCUAGCCCGGGUGCUUCUGAUGUUCGGAAGUAGUAAAAUGUUCAAACUGGUUAAAAAACGACACUCAUUGGCUUGCCUUUGGUGUUUCUGAAACCCUAAUUGUGGUUCCAGCCACGGAUCUAAGGAACCUUGUAGGUUGCAGAGUCUGGCUCCCUGACCCCCUGCACCAUAAUUGAGGUGUUACAUUACAAUCCCAGCACUGCCGGCUUCAGGCUCAAAAUUCAGAAGGCUCAAGGCACCACACUUCUCAAAACAAAAAUAUGGCCUGUCACAAUUAAUGCCCAUCUCCCCAACUGGGGGAAAAACAUGACUGGCUGUUUCUGGUUCACUCUCUACAGAAGGUCCAGGGGGUGCAGGGGACGAUGUCCAGGAUGAAGCCCAUCGUGUUAUUAAAGUGCCCCUGACAAAUAAAAUGACAUCGAAUUGCUGCCUGAAAACAGAACGGUUUGUUUGGUGUAAUUAGAGGACCUGCGAAUUUGGUGUGCGCAGAAAAUAGACUGUUGGCAGCACUUCCGCACGCACCUCCGAGACUGUGACUUCCAGAGCGUGAGGGUCAUCAUUUGCAAGCAGGCAAGUGGUACCACGUGAACUCCACGCCACAGAAGUGGUAGCCCGCGACGCUCAGACAAGCAGUCAGCGUGGCGUUAUCCAUAAAAUGGACACAGUAAAACCGACUCAAAAGAGGUCUUACGCAAGUCUGAAGAACGCCCUCCCCUCUUUCCUUCUUUAUUUGUUGUUGCUAUUGUUGUUGUUAAGACUACAGUCUCGUUGCUAGGUAGUCCUGGCAAACCUGAUACUCAUUAUGCCAUCUAGGCUGUCCUCAAACUCUUGGUAAUCCUCCUGUCUCAACGCUGAAGUGCUGGGAUUAUAAGCAUAUGCCACCUUGCCUGGACCCAACCCCCGCUUCUUUUCCUUCUUUCGCAAGGCACCUGAAGCACCUUCGUAAGACUCCUGCAUUCUGAAAAGCAGAGGGAGAAAUGCCUCAUUAACUUCCCUAGCUAAUUUUACAAUUUAACCAAACACCAGAUUUCUGCCUCCAUUCAGCGCUGAUGGUGACAAACUUGCAAUUGCGGAGACGGUGGGAACGAUUGCGUCCAGGCUGGAAACUGAAGGCAAGGGCUAGAAAACAACACCAGGAGAUGGUUCACUCAGAAACUAAAAUAAAACCCAGCUCUAAAGGGGGCCCCUGGAGCAGAAUUCAAGGCUGGGCAGGGCUGAGAAGUGAAGGAAGAAAAGCCAGGUCAGCCAUGUGGUGUCAGGAAGAUGGAGCGCCUAAGUGACAAUGACUCUUCCUGUCACCUUGCAGGGCAGGGGCUAUAUUGGGAAAGUCAAGUUACAUGCUGUCCUCCUAGGGGCAUGAUUCAAUGCUGAUGGGUAGCAGGCCAAAGGCCAGCCAGGGCCACAGAGGACACGAUUAACUUGGCCAUGCCCUGGGGCUCCUUCCAAAACACACUCAAGGUCCAGUUGGCUACUGAGCCCAAGCCCUGAGGGAAACACCGCCCCCCAUACGUCCUGAUUAUGAUUUGGGCAGAGGUGGGGUUCAGUGGGGAAAGACACUGCGGUAGAGAAUGUGUCACCAUCAAUAAGCCUACAGCUGAGAGUCCUCCAGGCAUUGUUAAAUGCCUAAUUGGUCCUCGUCUUUUAGACUCACACCUUGCCCAUCCACACUGGACAGAUCUCCAGACAGACAGACAGACAGACAGACAGACAGACAGACAGACCGAGACGCUGAGUCUUCCUUAGCACCUGGGUCAGGCGCUGCUCUCCGUGCCUGUGGAAGACACCGCCCUGGGACUGUCCUUGUUCCUCCUGGGGCAACCCUGAAGCUUCCACCUGCUUCUCUGUAUCCUCAUUUCCACAACGUGUGAUUCCAGACCCCAACGCUCAAUCAAGACCAGACUAGCUCACAGCAGGGCUCUACCAGACACACUGAGCAGUCUCCAUGGGAAAGACUUAGGCUGGGGAGGCAGUAAUAACCCAGGACAACAGCUUGUCCCCCAAAG